GACGAACGCUGGCGGCGUGCUUAACACAUGCAAGUCGAACGGAAAGGCCCUGCUUUUGUGGGGUGCUCGAGUGGCGAACGGGGGAGUAACACGUGAGUAAACUGCCCUUGACUUUGGGAUAACUUCAGGAAACUGGGGCUAAUACAGGAUAGGAGCUCCUGAUGCAUGGUGUGGGUUGGUAAGUUUCGGCGGUUGGGGAUGGACUCGCGGCUUAUCAGCCUGUUGGUGGGGUAGUGGCUUACCAAGGCUUUGACGGGUAGCCGGCCUGAGAGGGGGACCGGCGACAUUGGGACUGAGAUACGGCCCAGACUGCUACGGGAGGCAGCGGUGGGGAGUAUUGCAGAAUGAGCGGAAGCGUGAGGCAGCGACGCCGCGUGCGUGAUGACGGCCUUCGGGUUGUAAACCGCUGUCGCCUGUGACGAGGCGUGAGUGACGGUAAUGGGUAAAGAAGCACCGGCUAACUACGUG
rnacentral:rRNA from 1 species